UUGCUUUGGCAGGACAUAUAUACUAAAAUUGGAAGAUUAGCAUGGCCCCUGUGCAAUGAUGACACACGAAUUCAUGAAGCGUUUCCAUAUUUU
ensembl:snRNA U6 U6 spliceosomal RNA